GGGGAUGUAGUUCAGUAGUGCCACGCCUGCCUCGCAAGCACAAGGUCCUGAGUUCGAUCCCCAGUACCCCCA
rnacentral:tRNA from 1 species